GUUAGGAAUAUUGGACAAUGGGCGCAAGCCUGAUCCAGCCAUGCCGCGUGAGUGAUGAAGGCCUUCGGGUUGUAAAGCUCUUUAGUCCACGAAUAUAAUGACUGUAGUGGAAGAAUAAGCCCCGGCUAACUUCGUGCCAGCAGCCACGGUAAUACGAAGGGGGCGAGCGUUAUUCGGAAUCACUGGGCGUAAAGCGUGCGUAGGCUGUUUUGUAAGUCAGAAGUGAAAGCCCAGGGCUUAACCCUGGAAUUGCUUUUGAAACUACAAGACUCGAAUUCGGGAGAGGAUAGCGGAAUUGUCAGUGUAGCAGUGAAAUGCGUAGAUAUUGACAGGAACACCAGUGGCGCAAGCGGCUAUCUGGACCGAUAUUGACGCUGAGGCACGAAAGCGUGGGGAGCAAACAGGAUUAGAUACCCGGGUAGUCC
rnacentral:rRNA from 1 species